UCGAACUGUAGAGUUUGAUCCUGGCUCAGAUUGAACGCUGGCGGCAUGCCUUACACAUGCAAGUCGAACGGUAAC
rnacentral:rRNA from 1 species